ACAUCACUGACAAACUGAAAUCGUCCACCCACACAUACAGUGUUGUGAAGAAGGCACAACAGCGCCUCUUCAACUUCAGGAGGCUGAAUAAAUUUGGUUUGGCACCUAAAACCCUCACAAACUUCAACAGAUGCACAAUUGAGAGCAUCCUGUCGGGCUGUAUCACGGUCUGGUAUGGCUACUGCAUUGCCCACAACCACAGGGCUCUCCAGAGGGUUGUCGUGUCUUUGGCAUCAUUAAAGGCUAUCUUCUGUAUACCGUUGGGCCAGGAACUGAAAGGUAGAUCGAAUCCCCGAGCUGACAAGUGACACUGACUCUGAAUGGGAGCCCCCAGUGCCAAGGUGUCCAUCCCCCACUGAAGCUGGUUCAUCCAGCUCCUG
ensembl:lncRNA